UCUCCGUUGGUGAACCAGCGGAGGGAUCAUUACCGAGUUUACAACUCCCAAACCCCUAUGUGAACGUUACCAAACUGUUGCCUCGGCGGGAAAUUCAUGCCCCGGGCGCGUCGCAGCCCCGGACCAAGGAGCCCGCCGGAGGACCAACCAAAACUCUUUUGUAUGUCCCUCGCGGACUUUUAUAAUUCUGAACCAUCUCGGCGCCCCUAGCGGGCGUUUCGAAAAUGAAUCAAAACUUUCAACAACGGAUCUCUUGGUUCUGACAUCGAUGAAGAACGCAGC
rnacentral:misc_RNA from 1 species